UACGGAGGGUGCGAGCGUUAAUCGGAAUUACUGUGCGUAAAGCGCGCGUAGGCGGUUUUUUAAGUCGGAUGUGAAAGCCCCGGGCUCAACCUGGGAACUGCAUCCGAUACUGGAAGACUAGAAUGCGGGAGAGGGAGGUAGAAUUCCAUGUGUAGCAGUGAAAUGCGUAGAUAUAUGGAGGAAUACCAGUGGCGAAGGCGGCCUCCUGGCUCGACAUUGACGCUGAGGUGCGAAAGCGUGGGGAGCAAACGGG
rnacentral:rRNA from 1 species